rnacentral:rRNA from 1 species
CUAACGCUGGCAGUGCGUCUUAAGCAUGCAAGUCAAACGGGAUGUAGCAAUACAUCUAGUGGCGAACGGGUGAGUAACGCGUGGAUGAUCUACCUACGAGAUGGGGAUAACUAUUAGAAAUAGUAGCUAAUACCGAAUAAAGUCAAUUAAUUUGUUAAUUGAUGAAAGGAAGCCUUUAAAGCUUCGCUUGUAGAUGAGUCUGCGUCUUAUUAGCUAGUUGGUAGGGUAAAUGCCUACCAAGGCGAUGAUAAGUAACCGGCCUGAGAGGGUGAACGGUCACACUGGAACUGAGAUACGGUCCAGACUCCUACGGGAGGCAGCAGCUAAGAAUCUUCCGCAAUGGGCGAAAGCCUGACGGAGCGACACUGCGUGAAUGAAGAAGGUCGAAAGAUUGUAAAAUUCUUUUAUAAAUGAGGAAUAAGCUUUGUAGGAAAUGACAAAGUGAUGACGUUAAUUUAUGAAUAAGCCCCGGCUAAUUACGUGCCAGCAGCCGCGGUAAUACGUAAGGGGCGAGCGUUGUUCGGGAUUAUUGGGCGUAAAGGGUGAGUAGGCGGAUAUAUAAGUCUAUGCAUAAAAUACCACAGCUCAACUGUGGAACUAUGUUGGAAACUAUAUAUCUAGAGUCUGAUAGAGGAAGUUAGAAUUUCUGGUGUAAGGGUGGAAUCUGUUGAUAUCAGAAAGAAUACCGGAGGCGAAGGCGAACUUCUGGGUCAAGACUGACGCU